rnacentral:precursor_RNA from 12 species
GGGGAUAGUUUGAAGCAAGGUGGGCAGCUGACCCUGUAGCUGCUAAGGGGCGUAGUGAUGUUUCCACCCCUAAGCUGUUACAUCGUCUGUUGUUCACCUAAAUUCAUCGUCGCACAAG